CAGGAAACCAUCCACCAGAUACAUUGUACUUCUGCCGUGCAACCUAUUUGGAAGUUCUGAGUCAACCUUUGGAUAUGCAAGAAAAUGUCGUACUGCAGCUGGAAACCAUGGUGAUAUUUGUCACUGGAAGAGUGGAUCCUUUCCAUCCACCCAAAGACAUUAAGAUUGUCAUCGAUGGAACACAGGUCCUGAAUGAAGUGCCUUCUGUUGCGACAGCUGUUGCCAUGCUCUUUGGGCUCAUAUAUGCACUAAACCUAAAGUAUCCAAAAAAUCUACAGUACACUCUUGAAUUUUUUCAAAAAGUCCUGAUGGAGCUGGGUGGGAAAAAGAUGUCCCCGAAAGUUUAUAGGCUAAGCACCCAGCUUUACAGCUGUUAAAUUCACUUACCUUUUAUUUUUCCAUUGCUGAAAAACUGGAGAGCGAUGGUGUUAGUACUGAAGUGUUUGUUAAUGUUUAUACAUUUUGAAAAAAUUUUUUAUUGUUAACAUUUUGGAUGUUCGCUAUGUUCUUUCCAUAAUAAAUAACGUUUAAAGAAACAAA